UACGUAGGGUGCAAGCGUUGUCCGGAAUUAUUGGGCGUAAAGAGCUCGUAGGCGGUUUGUCGCGUCUGCUGUGAAAUCCCGAGGCUCAACCUCGGGCCUGCAGUGGGUACGGGCAGACUAGAGUGCGGUAGGGGAGAUUGGAAUUCCUGGUGUAGCGGUGAAAUGCGCAGAUAUCAGGAGGAACACCGGUGGCGAAGGCGGGUCUCUGGGCAACAACUGACGCUGAGGAGCGAAAGCGUGGGGAGCGAACAGG
rnacentral:rRNA from 1 species